GAUGAACGCUGGCGGCGUGCCUAAUACAUGCAAGUCGAGCGAACGGACGAGAAGCUUGCUUCUCUGAUGUUAGCGGCGGACGGGUGAGUAACACGUGGAUAACCUACCUAUAAGACUGGGAUAACUUCGGGAAACCGGAGCUAAUACCGGAUAAUAUUUUGAACCGCAUGGUUCAAAAGUGAAAGACGGUCUUGCUGUCACUUAUAGAUGGAUCCGCGCUGCAUUAGCUAGUUGGUAAGGUAACGGCUUACCAAGGCAACGAUGCGUAGCCGACCUGAGAGGGUGAGCGGGCACACUGGAACUGAGACACGGUCACGACUCCUACGGGAGGCAGCAGUAGGGAAUAUGGGGCAAUGGGCGAAAGCCUGACAGAGCAACGCCGCGUGAGUGAAGAAGGUCUUCGGAUCGUAAAACUCUGUAAUUAGGGAAGAACAAAUGUGUAAGUAAAUAUGCACGUCUUGACGGUACCUAAACAGAAAGCCACGGCUAACUACGUG
rnacentral:rRNA from 1 species